rnacentral:SRP_RNA from 1 species
GCUAGGUGUGGUGGUGCACGCCUGUAAUCCCAGCUACUCAGGAGGCUGAGGCAGGCGAAUUGCUUGAACCCGGGAGGCAGAGGUUGCAGUGAGCCAAGAUCGCACCACUGCACUCCAGCCUGGGUGAGAGAGCAAGACCCUGUCUCAA